AAAGUCGUAACAAGGUCUCCGUAGGUGAACCUGCGGAGGGAUCAUUAACAAACACACACAUACAUGAGCCACGACGCUCUGUGCAACCGUCCGUUCCUGGGAGGCGUGGGUAUUGCCGUGAGACAGCGGGAAGCGUGUCUCGUAUCACCCCAGGAGCAACACAACCACAAUGACCGUCAUAUUAUAAUACGAAUACGAAAACGAAAACAACUUUUAACAAUGGAUCUCUUGGCUCUU
rnacentral:misc_RNA from 1 species